UACAGAGGGGGCAAGCGUUGUUCGGAAUUACUGGGCGUAAAGGGCGCGUAGGCGGCCCGCUAAGUCGAACGUGAAAUCCCCGGGCUCAACCCGGGAACUGCGUCCGAUACUGGCAGGCUUGAAUCCGGGAGAGGGAUGCGGAAUUCCAGGUGUAGCGGUGAAAUGCGUAGAUAUCGAGAGGAACACCUGCGGCGAAGGCGGGUUGCUGGGCUGAUACUGACGCUGAGGCGCGAAAGCCAGGGGAGCGAACGGG
rnacentral:rRNA from 1 species